rnacentral:rRNA from 1 species
AUUGAACGCUGGCGGCAGGCCUAACACAUGCAAGUCGAGCGGAUGAAGGGAGCUUGCUCCUGGAUUCAGCUGCGGACGGGUGAGUAAUGCCUAGGAAUCUGCCUGGUAGUGGGGGAUAACGUCCGGAAACGGGCGCUAAUACCGCAUACGUCCUGAGGGAGAAAGUGGGGGAUCUUCGGACCUCACGCUAUCUGAUGAGCCUAAGUCGGAUUAGCUAGUUGGUGGGGUAAAGGCCUACCAAGGCGACGAUCCGUAACUGGUCUGAGAGGAUGAUCAGUCACACUGGAACUGAGACACGGUCCAGACUCCUACGGGAGGCAGCAGUGGGGAAUAUUGGGCGAUGGGGGAAAGCCUGAUCCAGCCAUGCCGCGUGUGUGAAGAAGGUCUUCGGAUUGUAAAGCAAUUUAAGUUGGGAGGAAGGGCAGUAAGUUAAUACCUUGCUGUUUUGACGUUACCAACAGAAUAAGCACCGGCUAACUUCGUG